rnacentral:tRNA from 1 species
CGGGAUUUAGCUCAGUGGUAGAGCGCUUGCCUAGGAAGCGCAAGGCCCUGGGUUCGGUUCCCAGCUCCGA